GGGUUGUGAGGUUAAGCGACUAAGCGUACACGGUGGAUGCCCUGGCAGUCAGAGGCGAUGAAGGACGUGCUAAUCUGCGAUAAGCGCCGGUAAGGUGAUAUGAACCGUUAUAACCGGCGAUUUCCGAAUGGGGAAACCCAGUGUGACUCGUCACACUAUCAUUAACUGAAUCCAUAGGUUAAUGAGGCGAACCGGGGGAACUGAAACAUCUAAGUACCCCGAGGAAAAGAAAUCAACCGAGAUUCCCCCAGUAGCGGCGAGCGAACGGGGAGGAGCCCAGAGCCUGAAUCAGCAUAUGUGUUAGUGGAAGCGUCUGGAAAGGCGCGCGAUACAGGGUGACAGCCCCGUACACAAAAGCGCAUGUGCUGUGAGCUCGAUGAGUAGGGCGGGACACGUGGUAUCCUGUCUGAAUAUGGGGGGACCAUCCUCCAAGGCUAAAUACUCCUGACUGACCGAUAGUGAACCAGUACCGUGAGGGAAAGGCGAAAAGAACCCCGGCGAGGGGAGUGAAAAAGAACCUGAAACCGUGUACGUACAAGCAGUGGGAGCACCCUUUGGGGUGUGACUGCGUACCUUUUGUAUAAUGGGUCAGCGACUUAUAUUCUGUAGCAAGGUUAACCGAAUAGGGGAGCCGGAGGGAAACCGAGUCUUAAUUGGGCGUUAAGUUGCAGGGUAUAGACCCGAAACCCGGUGAUCUAGCCAUGGGCAGGUUGAAGGUUGGGUAACACUAACUGGAGGACCGAACCGACUAAUGUUGAAAAAUUAGCGGAUGACCUGUGGCUGGGGGUGAAAGGCCAAUCAAACCGGGAGAUAGCUGGUUCUCCCCGAAAGCUAUUUAGGUAGCGCCUCGUGAAUUCAUCUCCGGGGGUAGAGCACUGUUUCGGCUAGGGGGCCAUCCCGGCUUACCAACCCGAUGCAAACUGCGAAUACCGGAGAAUGUUAUCACGGGAGACACACGGCGGGUGCUAACGUCCGUCGUGAAGAGGGAAACAACCCAGACCGCCAGCUAAGGUCCCAAAGUCAUGGUUAAGUGGGAAACGAUGUGGGAAGGCCCAGACAGCCAGGAUGUUGGCUUAGAAGCAGCCAUCAUUUAAAGAAAGCGUAAUAGCUCACUGGUCGAGUCGGCCUGCGCGGAAGAUGUAACGGGGCUAAACCAUGCACCGAAGCUGCGGCAGCGACGCUGAUGCGUUGUUGGGUAGGGGAGCGUUCUGUAAGCCUGCGAAGGUGGCCUGUGAGGGUUGCUGGAGGUAUCAGAAGUGCGAAUGCUGACAUAAGUAACGAUAAAGCGGGUGAAAAGCCCGCUCGCCGGAAGACCAAGGGUUCCUGUCCAACGUUAAUCGGGGCAGGGUGAGUCGACCCCUAAGGCGAGGCCGAAAGGCGUAGUCGAUGGGAAACGGGUUAAUAUUCCCGUACUUGGUGUUACUGCGAAGGGGGGACGGAGAAGGCUAUGUUGGCCGGGCGACGGUUGUCCCGGUUUAAGCGUGUAGGUGUGUGUUCCAGGUAAAUCCGGUUCACUUUAACACUGAGGCGUGAUGACGAGGCACUACGGUGCUGAAGCAACAAAUGCCCUGCUUCCAGGAAAAGCCUCUAAGCAUCAGGUAACAUCAAAUCGUACCCCAAACCGACACAGGUGGUCAGGUAGAGAAUACCAAGGCGCUUGAGAGAACUCGGGUGAAGGAACUAGGCAAAAUGGUGCCGUAACUUCGGGAGAAGGCACGCUGACACGUAGGUGAAGUGAUUUACUCAUGGAGCUGAAGUCAGUCGAAGAUACCAGCUGGCUGCAACUGUUUAUUAAAAACACAGCACUGUGCAAACACGAAAGUGGACGUAUACGGUGUGACGCCUGCCCGGUGCCGGAAGGUUAAUUGAUGGGGUCAGCGCAAGCGAAGCUCCUGAUCGAAGCCCCGGUAAACGGCGGCCGUAACUAUAACGGUCCUAAGGUAGCGAAAUUCCUUGUCGGGUAAGUUCCGACCUGCACGAAUGGCGUAAUGAUGGCCAGGCUGUCUCCACCCGAGACUCAGUGAAAUUGAACUCGCUGUGAAGAUGCAGUGUACCCGCGGCAAGACGGAAAGACCCCGUGAACCUUUACUAUAGCUUGACACUGAACAUUGAGCCUUGAUGUGUAGGAUAGGUGGGAGGCUUUGAAGUGUGGACGCCAGUCUGCAUGGAGCCGGCCUUGAAAUACCACCCUUUAAUGUUUGAUGUUCUAACGUGGACCCGUGAUCCGGGUUGCGGACAGUGUCUGGUGGGUAGUUUGACUGGGGCGGUCUCCUCCUAAAGAGUAACGGAGGAGCACGAAGGUUGGCUAAUCCUGGUCGGACAUCAGGAGGUUAGUGCAAUGGCAUAAGCCAGCUUGACUGCGAGCGUGACGGCGCGAGCAGGUGCGAAAGCAGGUCAUAGUGAUCCGGUGGUUCUGAAUGGAAGGGCCAUCGCUCAACGGAUAAAAGGUACUCCGGGGAUAACAGGCUGAUACCGCCCAAGAGUUCAUAUCGACGGCGGUGUUUGGCACCUCGAUGUCGGCUCAUCACAUCCUGGGGCUGAAGUAGGUCCCAAGGGUAUGGCUGUUCGCCAUUUAAAGUGGUACGCGAGCUGGGUUUAGAACGUCGUGAGACAGUUCGGUCCCUAUCUGCCGUGGGCGCUGGAGAACUGAGGGGGGCUGCUCCUAGUACGAGAGGACCGGAGUGGACGCAUCACUGGUGUUCGGGUUGUCAUGCCAAUGGCACUGCCCGGUAGCUAAAUGCGGAAGAGAUAAGUGCUGAAAGCAUCUAAGCACGAAACUUGCCCCGAGAUGAGUUCUCCCUGAGACUUAGAGUCUCCUGAAGGAACGUUGAAGACGACGACGUUGAUAGGCCGGGUGUGUAAGCGCAGCGAUGCGUUGAGCUAACCGGUACUAAUGAACCGUGAGGCUUAACCUUACAACGCCGAAG
rnacentral:rRNA from 1 species